rnacentral:lncRNA from 1 species
AUGAUAUAUAAAUAUACACAUAUAUAUUAUUAAAAAAAAAUAAUUCUACUUACAUAUAUUAACUAUAUUAUACAUUUCUUGCAGCUCAAGACAAUUCAUCUUCACGCAGUGCAGUCCAGGCAAGCCACAAGACUGGGAACCCAUGUUUUAGAGCUUGGCUCGCUAUUCUUGGUGACCUUGUUCAGCAAUGGUGUGCUCCUCUAAUGGCUGACUUCUGUUCGUUCCUUUUCAGACCCAGAAUCCUGCUAGCAACCUUCUCAAAACACUGGAGUGCUGCAUGUUUGAAGCAGACAGUGCUUGGCCAUGCAGAGCAAUCCCAAACAGGGCAUCAAGAGAUACUCAGCCCUGCAAAGCUGCACGUGGAGCAGAACUUGCUGCUGCUGCUUUCCAUAUGUUCCUUCCCAUGGGGCCCUGGCUGGACCUCGACCUGAGGAAGAAGCAGAAUGGAAACUUAAUGGAGAAGCGAGUCCCACCUCUCAGGUAUAUGAGGUUGCCAAACUCCUUUGUUCUAGUUCUCUCUGGUUUUAGCAUGUUUCUGUCCAUGAGGGGAUAAUAAAGGGGCAGUGUGUUCCUCCCUUGCUCUCCCUAAGCCCACAACAGUAUCUCCAAGUCCUCAACCUGAAUUUGCAGCAUUCAAAAGAGCCUUCCCCUGUUUCCUCUUCUUUUCUUAAUAUCUUUUUUCUUCUUUUUUUUUUUUUUUCAAGUCAAUUCACAUUGAUUAAUCAUUUCAUAAAUGUUUCGGGGUGGGAUUGUGAAACCUUUACUGGCAAGAAUUUUUCCCCUGGAGUCAAGGAGACUACUCAUUAGCAUGACUGCUUGCCAGCAUGAGGGAGGGAUUCGCAAUCUGGACGUUUGUAGUUUUAAAAAUAUGUCUCUAUUUAGCUGAUUUGGGCAGCUGAGCAGGGCUGGUUAUGGAAAUCAAACUAACAGGCUGUCACACUCUGUUUUACUUCAGAAAGCAUCUAUAGUGAAAUAAUGUAUUUUUACAUAACACACGCGCAUUUAAACAGUACUUCAGUAAUCUGAUCGGUGUCUUCAUUCUGACAAGCAUUCUCUGAGACCCUUUCAUCAUGGACCAAACCAAACCCUAUGUUGUUAAAUCUCCUCUCCAUAUACCUCUGAGACUACACAUAGUCUGAAUAUGUAUAUGGGCCACUACUGACAGGAAAGCCAUCGUGUGCUGAAUACACAGACCUGUCAGAAGCAGUUGGUGCUUGCAGAACGCCUGGGCUUGAGCCAGGUGGUACAGGGUUUAGUGGCUGAGGAGCUAUGUAAGGUUGUGUCUGCAGGCCAUGAAUGUGGCAUGGCUAUACCUCUUGUUCCUGCUUGCAAGAAACAGAACUCUGAGGAAAGAAGCCUGGCUCUCCGACAGAAACCCUUGUCUUUUACAAGGGCUGCUCUGAAAGUAAUGACUCCUAUUUUAUUAUAUUGGCCCAUGACAUCAGAGGCAGAUAUUGAU